rnacentral:lncRNA from 1 species
AAACCUAGAACACAAACGACACGGGCUUCCCACUGAAAGCUUUGGGGCUACAGCACUGCCAAUCCCAAGCUCUGUGGCUCUGAGAGUGCAGCCAAUCUUCACUUCAUAAGAUGGCUAUGAGGACAGAUUCCCCCAUCCUAGGUUAAGCCUGAGGUCUGCCCUGGGAGCUCUGCAAAGACCAGUGACAAGAGGAUUACUACUGGAUUCCUGACCUCAAGGAAUUGUUCCAUCUCACAAAGGCACGGGCUACCUCUGAGAGAGCACCUAAAUACACGACCAGCCCAAAAUGAUAAGCGGCAGCUGAGACAGGUGUGUUUGGGUGCUGCAGGUAACUGGAAAUGGGCAUGUGUGGUCAUCCUGAGCAUCACUGUACCAGCGGGGAUAGUACUGCAGACAGCCCACCUGGGUGCUAGCUGAAGAGGGACAAGCUUCCUCGGCUCAGUGAACCUUGGCUUUGGUCAGAAAGCUGCCCUUCUACCAUACUGAGCAGCAGGGCCCGAAUGACGCCCUUCCAUGGGCUUUCACUGGUCUAAACUCAAGUGAGAGCACAGUCUUUCUAACCCUCCCAUCCCAGUGGCGUCAGGACCAGGCCCCGGAAGACAGAAUACCUGAGGUCAUCUCCGAUCAAGACUUCACAUUCGUGACUAAUAAUACUUCAGUGUUAAUUAGAGCUCAGCAGAGAAUGCUGAUUGAUUCUGAAUCUGUAAUCUGCAGUGAUUUAGCAACAUCGAGAGAGCUUUAGCACCUCUUCCUGGAACACAGAGGCUCACAUGACUGACUGGCGUCCAGGACUUUCAGCUCAACAAAGUCUCAAAAGCAGCACAGAUGCUGAACCGUGUACUUCAACUUGAGAGAAAAAAAAACAACCUCAUAUUGAAUUAUUCUUAGUAUAGGAUGGCUGUAGUAGUGUUAUAAAUGCAUAACUACUAUUGAAUUGUCCCUAAAAUGUUUAUAGUACAAGUUUGUCUACUGCAAUGAACAUGCACUUCUGCCCAACCU